GAGUGAACGCUGGCGGUAGGCCUACCCCAUGCAAGUCGAACGGCAGCACAGUAAGAGCUUGCUCUUACGGGUGGCGAGUGGCGGCCGGGUGAGGAAUACAUCGGAAUCUACUUUUUCGUGGGGGAUAACGUAGGGAAACUUACGCUAAUACCGCAUACGACCUACGGGUGAAAGCAGGGGAUCUUCGGACCUUGCGCGAUUGAAUGAGCCGAUGUCGGAUUAGCUAGUUGGCGGGGUAAAGGCCCACCAAGGCGACGAUCCGUAGCUGGUCUGAGAGGAUGAUCAGCCACACUGGAACUGAGACACGGUCCAGACUCCUACGGGAGGCAGCAGUGGGGAAUAUUGGACAAUGGGCGCAAGCCUGAUCCAGCCAUACCGCGUGGGUGAAGAAGGCCUUCGGGUUGUAAAGCCCUUUUGUUGGGAAAGAAAAGCAGCAGGUUAAUACCCCGCUGUUCUGACGGUACCCAAAGAAUAAGCACCGGCUAACUUCGUG
rnacentral:rRNA from 1 species